rnacentral:rRNA from 1 species
UACGUAGGUGGCAAGCGUUGUCCGGAAUUAUUGGGCGUAAAGCGCGCGCAGGCGGUUCUUUAAGUCUGAUGUGAAAGCCCACGGCUCAACCGUGGAGGGUCAUUGGAAACUGGAGAACUUGAGUACAGAAGAGGAAAGCGGAAUUCCACGUGUAGCGGUGAAAUGCGUAGAGAUGUGGAGGAACACCAGUGGCGAAGGCGGCUUUCUGGGCCGUAACUGACGCUGAGGAGCGAAAGCAUGGGGAGCGAACAGG